rnacentral:rRNA from 1 species
GAUCUCCCGCUUGCGGGGGUGAUUAGUGGCGAACGGGUGAGUAAUACGUGAGUAACCUGCCCUUGACUCUGGGAUAAGCCUGGGAAACCGGGUCUAAUACUGGAUACUACUUCCUGCCGCAUGGUGGGGGGUGGAAAGGGUUUUACUGGUUUUGGAUGGGCUCACGGCCUAUCAGCUUGUUGGUGGGGUAAUGGCUCACCAAGGCGACGACGGGUAGCCGGCCUGAGAGGGUGACCGGCCACACUGGGACUGAGACACGGCCCAGACUCUUACGGGAGGCAGCAGUGGGGAAUAUUGCACAAUGGGCGGAAGCCUGAUGCAGCGACGCCGCGUGAGGGAUGACGGCCUUCGGGUUGUAAACCUCUUUCAGCAGGGAAGAAGCCACAAGUGACGGUACCUGCAGAAGAAGCGCCGGCUAACUACGUGCCAGCAGCCGCGGUAAUACGUAGGGCGCAAGCGUUGUCCGGAAUUAUUGGGCGUAAAGAGCUCGUAGGCGGUUUGUCGCGUCUGCUGUGAAAGCCCGGGGCUCAACCCCGGGUCUGCAGUGGGUACGGGCAGACUAGAGUGCAGUAGGGGAGACUGGAAUUCCUGGUGUAGCGGUGAAAUGCGCAGAUAUCAGGAGGAACACCGAUGGCGAAGGCAGGUCUCUGGGCUGUUACUGACGCUGAGGAGCGAAAGCAUGGGGAGCGAACAGGAUUAGAUACCCUGGUAGUCCAUGCCGUAAACGUUGGGCACUAGGUGUGGGGGACAUUCCACGUUCUCCGCGCCGUAGCUAACGCAUUAAGUGCCCCGCCUGGGGAGUACGGCCGCAAGGCUAAAACUCAAAGGAAUUGACGGGGGCCCGCACAAGCGGCGGAGCAUGCGGAUUAAUUCGAUGCAACGCGAAGAACCUUACCAAGGCUUGACAUUCACCGGACCGCACUGGAGACAGUGUUUCCCUUCGGG